UGGUGGAGCGAUUUGUCUGGUUAAUUCCGUUAACGAACGAGACCUCGGCCUGCUAAAUAGCCACGCCGGCCGCUCCCCGCAAGGGGAACCUGGCCGGUGGCCGCGCUUCUUAGAGGGACCGCCCGACCCCAGCGGACGGAAGCCCGAGGCAAUAACA
rnacentral:rRNA from 1 species